GCAACUUGAAGGCUGCUAGUGUUCUAUCACCAGAAGAAUGUAGUGGAGUACCUGAGCUUUAUCCAAACUACAUGCAUAUGAACUACUAUUGCAUUCCGAAGACAAAUAUUCUAAGCAACAUAUCAGGAACUAUAACAUCUUUAAGCCAAGGGCAGUCAGUUUAUCUUCAAAGUCCUGGUUUUAACAACGGUCAGAAGAUCCCGUCAAAAGAAAAUCUGGCUUGCUCUGUCAAUACGUGUGACGUUGGUGCAACACUCUCUAUAACACUCUGGCAGAUUGUGUUGGAAAACAACUCGAGUCAGUGCGAACAAAGAAUUAUCGUGAGACGAUCCGAUGGUAGUAUCAUCUAUGAUUGGCAAUGUCAGAACAACACAGCUACGCCGAAAACAUUGCAAACAAGUGAACA